rnacentral:rRNA from 1 species
AUUCCCCCAGUAGCGGCGAGCGAACGGGGAGCAGCCCAGAGCCUGAAUCAGUGUGUGUGUUAGUGGAAGCGUCUGGAAAGGCGUGCGAUACAGGGUGACAGCCCCGUACACAAAAAUGCACAUACUGUGAGCUCGAUGAGUAGGGCGGGACACGUGGUAUCCUGUCUGAAUAUGGGGGGACCAUCCUCCAAGGCUAAAUACUCCUGACUGACCGAUAGUGAACCAGUACCGUGAGGGAAAGGCGAAAAGAACCCCGGCGAGGGGAGUGAAAAAGAACCUGAAACCGUGUACGUACAAGCAGUGGGAGCACGCUUAGGCGUGUGACUGCGUACCUUUUGUAUAAUGGGUCAGCGACUUAUAUUCUGUAGCAAGGUUAACCGAAUAGGGGAGCCGAAGGGAAACCGAGUCUUAACUGGGCGUUAAGUUGCAGGGUAUAGACCCGAAACCCGGUGAUCUAGCCAUGGGCAGGUUGAAGGUUGGGUAACACUAACUGGAGGACCGAACCGACUAAUGUUGAAAAAUUAGCGGAUGACUUGUGGCUGGGGGUGAAAGGCCAAUCAAACCGGGAGAUAGCUGGUUCUCCCCGAAAGCUAUUUAGGUAGCGCCUCGUGAAUUCAUCUCCGGGGGUAGAGCACUGUUUCGGCAAGGGGGUCAUCCCGACUUACCAACCCGAUGCAAACUGCGAAUACCGGAGAAUGUUAUCACGGGAGACACACGGCGGGUGCUAACGUCCGUCGUGAAGAGGGAAACAACCCAGACCGCCAGCUAAGGUCCCAAAGUCAUGGUUAAGUGGGAAACGAUGUGGGAAGGCCCAGACAGCCAGGAUGUUGGCUUAGAAGCAGCCAUCAUUUAAAGAAAGCGUAAUAGCUCACUGGUCGAGUCGGCCUGCGCGGAAGAUGUAACGGGGCUAAACCAUGCACCGAAGCUGCGGCAGCGACGCUUAUGCGUUGUUGGGUAGGGGAGCGUUCUGUAAGCCUGUGAAGGUGUGCUGUGAGGUAUGCUGGAGGUAUCAGAAGUGCGAAUGCUGACAUAAGUAACGAUAAAGCGGGUGAAAAGCCCGCUCGCCGGAAGACCAAGGGUUCCUGUCCAACGUUAAUCGGGGCAGGGUGAGUCGACCCCUAAGGCGAGGCCGAAAGGCGUAGUCGAUGGGAAACAGGUUAAUAUUCCUGUACUUGGUGUUACUGCGAAGGGGGGACGGAGAAGGCUAUGUUGGCCGGGCGACGGUUGUCCCGGUUUAAGCGUGUAGGCUGGUUUUCCAGGCAAAUCCGGAAAAUCAAGGCCGAGGCGUGAUGACGAGGCACUACGGUGCUGAAGCAACAAAUGCCCUGCUUCCAGGAAAAGCCUCUAAGCAUCAGGUAACAUCAAAUCGUACCCCAAACCGACACAGGUGGUCAGGUAGAGAAUACCAAGGCGCUUGAGAGAACUCGGGUGAAGGAACUAGGCAAAAUGGUGCCGUAACUUCGGGAGAAGGCACGCUGAUACGUAGGUGAAGCGACUUGCUCGUGGAGCUGAAAUCAGUCGAAGAUACCAGCUGGCUGCAACUGUUUAUUAAAAACACAGCACUGUGCAAACACGAAAGUGGACGUAUACGGUGUGACGCCUGCCCGGUGCCGGAAGGUUAAUUGAUGGGGUUAGCGCAAGCGAAGCUCUUGAUCGAAGCCCCGGUAAACGGCGGCCGUAACUAUAACGGUCCUAAGGUAGCGAAAUUCCUUGUCGGGUAAGUUCCGACCUGCACGAAUGGCGUAAUGAUGGCCAGGCUGUCUCCACCCGAGACUCAGUGAAAUUGAACUCGCUGUGAAGAUGCAGUGUACCCGCGGCAAGACGGAAAGACCCCGUGAACCUUUACUAUAGCUUGACACUGAACAUUGAGCCUUGAUGUGUAGGAUAGGUGGGAGGCUUUGAAGUGUGGACGCCAGUCUGCAUGGAGCCGACCUUGAAAUACCACCCUUUAAUGUUUGAUGUUCUAACGUGGACCCGUGAUCCGGGUUGCGGACAGUGUCUGGUGGGUAGUUUGACUGGGGCGGUCUCCUCCUAAAGAGUAACGGAGGAGCACGAAGGUUGGCUAAUCCUGGUCGGACAUCAGGAGGUUAGUGCAAUGGCAUAAGCCAGCUUGACUGCGAGCGUGACGGCGCGAGCAGGUGCGAAAGCAGGUCAUAGUGAUCCGGUGGUUCUGAAUGGAAGGGCCAUCGCUCAACGGAUAAAAGGUACUCCGGGGAUAACAGGCUGAUACCGCCCAAGAGUUCAUAUCGACGGCGGUGUUUGGCACCUCGAUGUCGGCUCAUCACAUCCUGGGGCUGAAGUAGGUCCCAAGGGUAUGGCUGUUCGCCAUUUAAAGUGGUACGCGAGCUGGGUUUAGAACGUCGUGAGACAGUUCGGUCCCUAUCUGCCGUGGGCGCUGGAGAACUGAGGGGGGCUGCUCCUAGUACGAGAGGACCGGAGUGGACGCAUCACUGGUGUUCGGGUUGUCAUGCCAAUGGCACUGCCCGGUAGCUAAAUGCGGAAGAGAUAAGUGCUGAAAGCAUCUAAGCACGAAACUUGCCCCGAGAUGAGUUCUCCCUGACCCUUUAAGGGUCCUGAAGGAACGUUGAAGACGACGACGUUGAUAGGCCGGGUGUGUAAGCGCAGCGAUGCGUUGAGCUAACCGGUACUAAUGAACCGUGAGGCUUAACCUUACAACGCCGAAG